GAUGAACGCUGGCGGCGUGCCUAAUACAUGCAAGUCGAGCGAACAGACGAGGAGCUUGCUCCUCUGACGUUAGCGGCGGACGGGUGAGUAACACGUGGAUAACCUACCUAUAAGACUGGGAUAACUUCGGGAAACCGGAGCUAAUACCGGAUAAUAUAUUGAACCGCAUGGUUCAAUAGUGAAAGACGGUUUUGCUGUCACUUAUAGAUGGAUCCGCGCCGCAUUAGCUAGUUGGUAAGGUAACGGCUUACCAAGGCAACGAUGCGUAGCCGACCUGAGAGGGUGAUCGGCCACACUGGAACUGAGACACGGUCCAGACUCCUACGGGAGGCAGCAGUAGGGAAUCUUCCGCAAUGGGCGAAAGCCUGACGGAGCAACGCCGCGUGAGUGAUGAAGGUCUUCGGAUCGUAAAACUCUGUUAUUAGGGAAGAACAAAUGUGUAAGUAACUAUGCACGUCUUGACGGUACCAAGCAGAAAGCCACGGCUAACUACGU
rnacentral:rRNA from 1 species